rnacentral:ncRNA from 1 species
AAAAGGUUUUAAUAAGUCAUAUAUGGCGCAAAUAUGGUGCGUUAAGUUUCUACCCGGUAGCCGUAAAUUAUCGGACUAUGAUGAUAUUAGAAA